ensembl:lncRNA
GGAUGUUUUUAGCAUGAAGGGAAGUAUGGAAAAAUUUUGACUGCCUGAAAUAGUCUUUUACAAAAGGAAACUCCACAUUCUUAUGGCUGAGAUGCGGUGCUAUGUUUCCCAGUAACCGCGUUUACUAUUACAAGCAUCUGUGCCACACCUUUUGUCGAAGUACUUCUUCAAGGAAAAGGAAAAAUGUUUCACAAGUAGUGAGUUAAAAAUAAUCUCCUUCUUCUUAACCCAUUAGCAGUUAGUAUGCUUGGGGGUGGGAUCUUCCCCCAGCUGCUCAGAUCCCAUUACUCAAAGGACCUUCUGCCUGUCUUCUCCUCCCUUACGGAGACAAAUUAAGCUGUCCUUGUUCCUUUUUCAUCCUCGCCUUCUCUUAGCUAUGGUGAGGGAAUUUUACAGUCCAGAAGCCAAAUGAACUGCGGGCAAUAGUAUCACUGCAUCCUCUGGUGUUCGGAGGUGUGUGAAAGACCUGUGACCAAAGGCUUCAUCAUGGACCGGCGUCCUCCUGAAGCAGCAGUGGUUGGCAGCCUCCUGGGAAUGUAGUUCCUAUGCAAAUCUUUGUCAGCGACAUCUAAUCCACUGAAUAAUGUGAUCCCUUCGAAUUCACUGAGCUCAUUGGGGAUUACCUGGAUUCAUAGAGGAAAAGCUUCUCCCAGAAUUUGCACAAGCAAAUCUCUUUCUUCUGAAUGCUAUUCCCUGGAGGUUCAAGGAAUGGGGUCUCUGGCAGAAGAAGAAUUGCUGUGUGAAGUAGAAGUCAUCAUUCCCUUUUGCGUACAAAUGCACUGAGGUGGGGAGGUUAAGUGACUUACUCAGUGUUACAGAGCAACCAACUGGUAGAGGAGAAAAAAGGAGUUCUCUGUGCUUCGGCUCUGCUGCUAUUCCCAUCAAGGAACUGUGAUGUGGCAUCACCAACGCUUUCUGGAAAGAUUUUUGGAGUAGCACAGAGCAGGGCUGGCCACACUGAGGUUGCUGAACUACACUGCUCUUAGGUGCGAGUCAGAUCCGCUCUCAUGCUGGGGUUUAUCAAUGAGGAUGAGGUGCUCCUAAUGCUGGCUGUGAGUGAAAGUGUGCCCAGGGCUCUUGUGAAAAGCCUAAUGAAUUAGAACAGGUAUGGGUAAUUCAGAUUUGCCAUGCAUGCCCUCUAGACAAUGGGGCAUCCCUCCUGUAUCAAUGCACAGUAGCCUCAAACAUCCACUUAGUGGAGGAUUUGCAUGUUUGGCACUUGCUUUUGUGUGUUAGGAACAGUAUAAAGUGAAAAUCACCCCAAGGACAGGCUUUUCUUCGUUCUUUAUGGCAUGUUGCUUGCAGACACCUCUGUGCAGGCAAUCUGUGCUGUCCGUGGGGCUGUCUCCUAAGUCAGGGGCUGCAUCUGAUGGGCAGCACUGCAGGAAAACUCUGUAUUCCCCCCACAUCUACAGUGUUAAGUGCAGGUUGGAAUGGGGUAAUUUUCUGGGCGUUAAACCAUGAUUUUUGGAUGGAAGUGAUGUUUUGUUCAGGGAUAUGAAAUGUGCUGCAUCUUAUGUUGACUUUGGCCUAACUAGAUGUUUGUAAAUAUGCCCAGAAAUAUCUAAUGCAUUUUACUAGCCAGGCACAAGCUGUCAGCCUGCAGCACAUCCGUAGCAGAGCAGUUUCCUCAGCGUUCUUCUAAAUGAGACAAAUGCCCAGAUUUCAACAGUUCACUACCCAGACCAGGAUUUUUUGCUUCAGGUCUCGGCAGAAAUGUGCCCACCUACCCCAUCAGCACAGCCUGGAGCUGCAGCAUCCUUUCUCCAGCCAAGCACUCACCUCCCCCCUCCGUCUGCAGUCUGGAGGAGUCUGGGCAGAGGAGUGUGGCUUUGUCUUCUUCUGGCAAAUGCCGGAUCUUUCUGCCUGCAGUUCUCCCAAGCCAUGGAGUUCUAUCCCAGUCAGGAGGCAGCUCCUGGAGGAACAUCUGGCUCCAGUGUCUAUCUUGUCUGCUGCUCCUUUGCACAUCUAAUUCCUUGCAAAGAGAUUAACGUGGGGAGCGGGAAAACAGCUCCGGGUUCUUUGGGAUGCUUAGAGGGAACCACUCCUCUGCACUGCCAGGCAACACUAGUCCAUCUCCUACAAAAAUACAGCACUUAAAUAAGGGAGAUAAUGAGAUGUGGUUGUGUGGUCUUCUGCCAUGUAUUUCCAAUGCCUCUGGCAUUUUAGGAAGCAUACAUGCAAGAAUACUGCGGGUGGCACAGAGGAGAGGUCCCACGGUGAAUGGGGCUGGCUGUGCAGCUGGCAGGGGGAAACCUCGCAGCGCUUCUGGAGCUGUAUUAAACACUAAGCAGGGAUGCCGGUCUGCCCAGCCUCGCAGACGGAACCCCUAUCUUGCAAUCUGUCCCAGAAGAAGCUGAUGGCAAUCUUCUGAGAGACUCGUAUUGCCUGGUGUGAAUAACAGUGGCCGUGUCCUCUCCAACAAUUUCCAAAUAAGUGCAAGCCAAAUGAGAGGGGAAGAACAAAGGACGCUGCUGUGGGGCAUUAGAUUUGAGGGGGAAAAAAUGUGAUUUUGUGGUCAGUCAAAUAUGGAAUGUGCUGAUGGUUCCUUAAGAUUUUUUUAAUGGAAAAAAUCAUAAGCUGCAAAUAGUUAAAUCGGAGUCUCUAUUUCUCAGCAAACAUCUUAAAUUACACACAAAAAAUCUCUUAAACACCUCAGCUUAAGGGAGGCCCCGGCUAGCUUGAGAUCCUUCGCCUUUUGGGGAUUUCACAGCAGACCACCCACUGGGAAAAUGAGGAGCUGGCAUCGUCGCCACGGUGGCACUUUUGCUGGAGAAGAGUCUCUGAAAUGCUGCACUCUUUUCCUUGGGGAGAUGAAAUGCAAGUGUCUAACGUGGUCUGUGUGAUUUGACAGAGCGGGGAGGCAUAAAUCACCCCCGGCGCUGCUUUCUUUAAGCUAUUAGGUACUCUAUUUACAUGUGUUUGGACCAAAUGUCCUGCUUUGCCCUGCUACUUACAUGUAAUGUAAUCAGCCUACACUUGUGCAAAUAAGUCUGUAAUUUCACGCAGAGACAUGCAGUACGCCGUAAAUGCCUUGUCUCAGAUAAUAAGCAAGUUGUAUUAAUUAUUAUAAACCUGUCCCAGCCUAUUAAAGUCUUUCCUUAAUGAUGCUGUGGCGAGGUGGCUGCUUCCCUGUGAGUCAGCAGCUCCUGCACCUCUCGGAUGGAGCCCUUUGGUGUGCCGGGUGCAGGGCGAUGUCAGGAGGACGGGGCUACAUGCCACUUUGCCCAGAGAGCCUUUCAUGAAGAUGAUGCUCUUAGCUGGAUGAAAGGCCUGCAGCUGGAAGUGCUAAUCUUACCUAUGCCAAUAAAGCAACAUUAACUAAAAGGAACGUGUGCAUUAUGCCCCAUAAGUGCCCUUUGCUAGGUAGAAAUUAUGGAUGUGCUGUCCGUAUACUGAAGUGUUCUUCCCCACCAAGUCGGCUGAGCAUUUCACGAGAACCAACGUGCUUUUAUCUUCACACCACCACGAAGGCAAUUGUUAUUCCAGUUCAGGUAAAAGCAGGUAAAAGUAGCACACAGCAGAGUACACAAGAACCAAGCCCGCACACCAUGUGAGUCAUACAGCGCUUAGAAAUACCACUCCUGAAGCACCACAUACCCUUUAAACAUCUCUCACUGGCCUGACCUUGUUCUGACACCUGAAACGGGCACCAGCUCCAGCACCUUGAGUUUGGCUCUGUGGCUGCACAGCCACACUGGCACCAUUUGGGGUGAGCCUUAGAGCUGCCGUGUUGUAGUACAGGUGGUAGCACCGCUACUACCCUGCAUCCACCAUGUUAACCAAAGGACCACUCAGCCAGAGCAGCACACCCAACACCACGUCCCCAAGAGCUAAGUAGUAUCAAAGCAGCACGAUGUGCAGUGAGCGUCAGAUGCAGUCCUGAAUUCCUCUCCUGGGUGUCAAUAACUGCUUUGUAUGAUUUUAUGCUUUUCACUCACUUGACUGCAGCCCCAAGAUGGGUAUCUCCCAAUGGACAGAGCAGGGUUUUUCUUGGUUCCACUGGGUACAGCUCGCUGGGCUGGGAUCCUCCAGAGAGAAGCGCCCAUGUGUCCCUCUAAUGUGAAAUAUGGCAGUGCUGACCACGUGGUUUUCCUCUUAGGGCCUCUUCUUGGCUAUGCCACACUCCUCAUAAUGGUCUUGGGUUUGUAAUAAUCAAAACAUCCAUGGUGGGCAUUCUGCCCACAUCUCCACACGCUCUAUUUUCAUGUAUAUAUGAACUUAAUUUUGCCGUGAAAUUACUCAGGUGCCGUAAAGAGUAACAAUGAAUAAAAGAUGGCAACUAUUGUCACCAUUACAGAAACUGC